ACGAAUUAUCAGAGCGAAUUUUCAUAUACUAUAUUAUCCUACUAUUGUUACACAAUUUAUCAACAUACCCUUUUAUAGGUUGAUUUAGGUUCUUUUCAUAACGAUAGCAGAAAAUACCUAUCGAAGCGUCAAGGUAAUUUCUCUACUAAUUGGAAUUUUCUCUUACAGCUUGAGCCUAAGUGUGUCGCAGGAUACCCUCUAGGUGAUAGUUCUUGAUUACUUUUUGAUAAAUAAUUCGUUCUUAUUGCGAAAUAGAAUAGUAAUAAAAGACUGAGGAGUAAUAAAAGAGAGAGGAGAGUGAGGAAAUUCUGUCUUUUUUAAAGACAAAAAUUUUUGAGGCGAUAUACCCAAAAAGAAGUGUAUAGGGGAAGAAAAAUUGGUCAUUAAUAGCGCUUAUUUAGGAAACUGUGAGAGGAUCCAAACGAACAAGGUUUCAUUAAAUGCAUCUCGGACUGAAAAAUGCGCAAUCCCAGGGUCGAAGUUGUAAAAGUAUAACGAAAUAUUAAAGGAGAAUGAAACUAGUUUUGUGAUGAAGUCAACUCGAUUCCUUCUGGUAUAAUGAACAGCAUUGAUUUUUUUAAUGUAUCAAACCAAUUAUGGCAGUUUAAGUGAUACUUGUUGCACAAAACAAUAAACAUUUAUUAAGGAA